rnacentral:tRNA from 1 species
AGCUCAGUUGGUUAGAGCAGCUGACUCUUAAUCAGCGGGUCCGGGGUUCGAGUCCCUGACGGC